AACACUCAUCCAUUCAUUACUAGUUUUCCCCUUGUUCCUCUCAGGCUUCAUUUAACUUACCGAAGGCUGUAAAGUUUGACCCUCACAUGCCUCAAAUCAACCUGGACACUAAGAAGGUGACAGCAUCACAAGCCUGCUCUGCUGCUCUGAAGCAGCACCUGGCAGAGAUCCUCAAACAGCCUGUUGAGGCCCGACUGCUGACACUUAAACCAGAGCAAAAGGCAGAAACUGUCUCAGGACCUGCAACUAAAAGUACUGGAUCUCAGCCGGGAGAUAUAACCAAGCCUCCAAAGCAGAGAAGAGCGCCGAGGUCCCACAGUGUGGGUCGUCCACCCAUCCAGCCAUUACUCAUGCCUUUUAAUGUGCCCAUUAAUUCUUUUAUGGGCACACACACAGGCUGGCAUUGGAAUCCUCCAUACAUGGCAGGACAACAGACAAAACAGGACAGAAGGCCGCCACACAAUGCACCAGGAGGAUAUAAGCCAAAUAUGAAAGGAAACCAGUAAACACAACAACCAAAGAAUCCAUCAGAGAAAUCAACUACAAGUUACUCACAGCCUUAUCAAAAUGACUUCUAAUGUGGAGAUUAUUGAUCAUCACUUCGCAUGACAGGGAAGGGCACUAUUGUGAGGCUUAAAUAAAUGGCAUACACACACACAUACACAGAGCAAGCAUUUUGUGUUUUUCACUUGGAAUAAUAAUCGUUAUAGAUAGGUACCGUAUAUUUUUAAAUGAGAAUAUGUGUAUGUGUAAAUUAUGGAGAAUGGUAGCAAUUACAUUGGAAUGAACACCACAUUUCAAAGCCAUUCAACUCAACCUGUGGUAAAAUGUAAAUGAUAUCCCGCUAUUACAAUGUUAGUGUGAGCUUCUGGCUGCUGGGACAUCUAACUAGAGAUCAUAGCAGCAGUCAUUUUUAAUACAUCCACUUAAAACACAGACACAUGUGGCUUAUAUAUGAAAAUAUUUAUAGGAAUGUCUUUCAAUUCAAAAGAUCAUUACAUUCAGUUCAGUCAAAAUCCAUUUCACCAAAUCCUAUUUUUGUAAACAGCUAUGAUUACAUGAUUGUUACCAAUAAAAGCUUGUUUUCUCCCAAAA